GUGAGGAAUAUUGCGCAAUGGAGGCAACUCUGACGCAGCCAUGCCGCGUGCAGGAAGAAGGCGCUACGCGUUGUAAACUGCUUUUAACCGGGAAGAAACCCCAGGACGUGUCCUGGGUUGACGGUACCGGAGGAAUAAGCACCGGCUAACUUCGUGCCAGCAGCCGCGGUAAUACGAAGGGUGCAAGCGUUAUCCGGAUUCAUUGGGUUUAAAUGGUGCGUAGGCGGAGCGUUAAGUCAGUGGUGAAAUCCUGCAGCUUAACUGUAGACUUGCCAUUGGUACUGGCGCUCUUGAGUGCGCUUGAAGUGGGCGGAAUGUGCCGUGUAGCGGUGAAAUGCUUAGAUAUGGCACAGAACACCAAUUGCGAAGGCAGCUCACUAAGGCGAUACUGACGCUGAGGCACGAAAGCGUGGGGAUCGAACAGGAUUAGAAACCCGGGUAGUCC
rnacentral:rRNA from 1 species